AGCAGCCGCGGUAAUUCCAGCUCCAAUAGCGUAUAUUAAAGUUGUUGCAGUUAAAAAGCUCGUAGUUGAAUUUCGGGAUCAAUAUAUCGGUCGUGCCAUCGGUACGUACUGGUAUCACUGGUUUCUCCUUUCUGACGAACCAUGAUGUCAUUAAUUUGGUGUUAUGGGAAGUUAGGACUGUUACUUUGAAAAAAUUAGAGUGUUUAAAGCAGGCUUUAGCUUGAAUACAUUAGCAUGGAAUAAUGAAAUAGGACGUUCGAACCUAUUUUGUUGGUUUCUAGGAUCAACGUAAUGAUUAAUAGGGAUAGUUGGGGGCAUUAGUAUUCAAUUGUCAGAGGUGAAAUUCUUGGAUUUAUUGAAGACUAACUACUGCGAAAGCAUUUGCCAAGGAUGUUUUCAUUAAUCAAGAACGAAAGUUAGGGGAUCGAAGACGAUCAGAUACCGUCGUAGUCUUAACCAUAAACUAUGCCGACUAGGGAUCGGAUGAUGUUAAUUUUUUAAUGACUCAUUCGGCGCCUUA
rnacentral:sRNA from 1 species